rnacentral:rRNA from 1 species
GACGAACGCUGGCGGCGUGCUUAACACAUGCAAGUCGAGCGAGAGAAAUUCCUUCGGGAAGGACUCUAGCGGCGGACGGGUGAGUAACACGUGGGUAACCUGCCUCAUAGAGGGGAAUAGCCUUUCGAAAGGAAGAUUAAUACCGCAUAAGAUUGUAGUAUCGCAUGAUACAGCAAUUAAAGGAGUAAUCCGCUAUGAGAUGGACCCGCGUCGCAUUAGCUAGUUGGUGAGGUAACGGCUCACCAAGGCGACGAUGCGUAGCCGACCUGAGAGGGUGAUCGGCCACAUUGGGACUGAGACACGGCCCAGACUCCUACGGGAGGCAGCAGUGGGGAAUAUUGCACAAUGGGGGAAACCCUGAUGCAGCAACGCCGCGUGAGUGAUGACGGUCUUCGGAUUGUAAAACCCUGUCUUCAGGGACGAUGAUGACGGUACCUGAGGAGGAAGCCACGGCUAACUACAUGCCAGCAGCCGCAGUAAAAC